rnacentral:lncRNA from 1 species
CUCCCAUUUAAGAUACCCCAUGUCACAAAAUCAUCUAGUAUCAUGCAGAAAAAAUGUCUAAAGAACCAAAACAGAUUCAAUGCAGUGACGGCAGAAAGUGUAUGGGCAUGAAGAUUCAAAGAAAAAGAUGCGGCCGUUGAAAGAUUUAUAUGCUCCUUUGCUCCAGGUACCUGAACCACUAAGGCCAGUUUCACCAAAUUCAUUUAGUCCAGAAGCACCAACACCAAGUUCAUCUGCACUCUUACCUCCUCCACCACUUCCAGAAUCAGAAGACCAAGUGUUUCCUCCUAAUGGAAAUCAAAAUGUAAAAAGGAAAAAAGCAAGUAAGACCCAAACUGAGUGUUCAGCUGCAGUAAUCUGCUUCUCUUGUGGGACUGAGAGCAUUUACUCCCUCCACUUCUGUAAUGACCCUAUUCACAAUUUAUACCAGUCUUAUGUUUCACUGUGUGACCCUCCAAGACCAUCCAUAUGACACUGGAAAGUUCAGAGAAAAUGUAAACGUAAAAUAAAGGCAUAUUUUAUAAGACUUAGAGAAUAUGAAAAAUAUCUAAAGGAAAGAAAC